UACGUAGGGGCUAGCGUUGUCCGGAAUCAUUGGGCGUAAAGCGCGUGUAGGCGGUUCGGUAAGUCCGCUGUGAAAGUCGGGGCUCAACCCUCGGAUGCCGGUGGAUACUGUCGGACUAGAGUGCGGAAGAGGCGAGUGGAAUUCCUGGUGUAGCGGUGAAAUGCGCAGAUAUCAGGAGGAACACCGAUUGCGAAGGCAGCUCGCUGGGACGUUACUGACGCUGGAGACGCGAAAGCGUGGGGAGCAAACAGG
rnacentral:rRNA from 1 species